CGCCACAAUCAAUUUCCAGUACACACAAGAACCCUGUUUUUCUCCUCGAACUAAUCGAUUUAUAAUAUCAAGCAGGCACACAAGCAAAUAUAAUCAUAAUGAGUCUGAUAUUUAGACAAACAACUAAAUGGAAAUGCAAAUUAGAUGGAUUUUUCUUUAAUCAGCAAAUUAAUUAUAGUAUUAUUAAUCAUAGCACAAGAUGUGCUUCAAAUACAUCAAACAUGGUUAAAGUACCCAUCCAGCAUGAUCCUCACAAAAUGGAAACCACCCAACUUUCAACCAAUGUGUAGUUCUCCUAAGUCCUACCACAAAAUGCAAAUUAGAUGGUGCGUUGCUUGCUAUCAUCGAAGGAGGCCUCUAGAAUAUUCUCGCUGAAUCCUUGCAAGUAGGAUUGCUGAUGAAGAUCUUCAAUUUCGCACUACCCGCGAGUAACGACGACGUCGCUUUCCUGCGUUGGUGGAAGCGACAUGGUCUCACAAGCACGUAGGUGGUCUCCGAGACCGAGAUUGGCGGCGCCUAAGAUCUGGUGGCUACGACGAUGUCGGUAGGAGCAUCGUCGGCAGCCGACAGGGGCUUCUUACUGCUGGGAACGCAGCCUCCGCCUCAUAUCUGGUGUCUACGGCGCGGUAAAUAGGAGCAUCGCCGGCGACCGGCGGCUGCUUCUUCUUGCUGGGAACGUAGCUCCGCCUCAGAUCCCGUCGUGAGAUGGAUUAGUUGUCGGCGAUCAGCGAUGACCUGGCCAAGAUCGAAAAAUUAUUUUGAGUUGUAAUAAAAUUACAGCCUCCUUUUUUAUGCCAUGUACCAUUCAUCUAUUUAUGUGUGGAUCUUAUGUAUUUAUGUAUUUGUGUUGUGAUAAAAUGACAGUAAUGGUAAAAUUUUCCAUAUGUUUAAAAGCUAAGAAAUAUCCUGCACAUAUUAGCUGUGACAUCAUUGUUUAAUGGAACAUCUUGACGGCAUAGAGAAAAAACAAAUUGAAAAAUGAUUUGAGAUCAAAAUGAAUCAAUAUUUAAUUCAGAAACUAAAAAUAAAAAUAUUAAAUAAUUGAAAGACAAAAAAUAUUUUAUUCCAAAGUUAAUAACUGGAUGAGGAGUUAAUACCUGAUUUUUGUUUUUAUAUAAAAAAUAUUUCCACGUGGACUGUAAAUGAAAUGGUCAUGGCCACAUUCCCAUUGGUUAGGAGCUUCUUUAAUCGCAGACCUCCA
rnacentral:lncRNA from 1 species